UAUAAAUUAUUGAAUGUUAUUCCUUCCUCCUUGUUUAGAAAGAAAGAUAAAAAUGAGUAUUUUUUCCUAAUGUCUGACGCACUCUAUCUAUACAUGCAUUGUCAUUCCCAGUUUCUUUCGCUCAGAUACAUCUCCAUUUUGUUCUGAAGCUCAUAUUUGGGAAUACAAAAGAACCGGGGAAAAGGCAGAGAGGAUUGUUGGUCUCAACUCUCAAGUCAGUACCAGCAACAGAGUUGAAUGUUUCGUAAUUUGGUGGGAGAAGCCUGGAGAGUAUGUGUUGUAUGAGCAACAAUAGCAGAAACAACUUUUGCUUCAAUAACACCAACAAGAUCUCUAUACAACAACUGCAUUCACCGCCACAGGAUCAAUCACUUCCAUCCAUGGAACCUAUUCAAUAGCUUCCCUAGGCAGAAAGAACACAAAUGAAUAUGAAACAACAGGUGCGCAAGUUGUUCUGUUAUAGUUUUGAUUUGUGAGAUAUUAUUUUUAUUUCAGAUAGCAAUGUAUAGUUUUGUGUUGGUAUUUUGCUUGUGUCUAGCUAUACUUAAAGGAGAUCUCUUGGAUGAACUGAAGUUAUUCAAAUGGAUUCUUCUUUUUAGC